rnacentral:tRNA from 1 species
GUCUAAGUAGUAUAUACUAUUACCCUACCUUUUCGAGGUAGAAAAGAGCUGCUAAGCUUUUUAGAUU